rnacentral:rRNA from 1 species
UACGAAGGGAGCUAGCGUUGUUCGGAAUUACUGGGCGUAAAGGGCGCGUAGGCGGUUAAACAAGUCAGGCGUGAAAGCCCCGGGCUCAACCCGGGAACUGCGCUUGAGACUGUUUUUCUAAGAGUACGGGAGAGGUAAGUGGAAUUCCCAGUGUAGCAGUGAAAUGCGUAGAUAUUGGGAGGAACACCAGUGGCGAAGGCGGCUUACUGGACCGUGACUGACGCUGAGGCGCGAAAGCGUGGGGAGCAAACAGG